GCAACGAACACUUCGCCGAUUGCCGAUUACCAAUUGUCCUUAUACCUGUUCAACGGAAAGGACUGAAACAUUGGGAGUUGCGAUGUUUUGAUUAACUGAGCGUUUGUUUCUACGGAAUGGGAAUUCCUGUCUUAUUUAACAAUGACGAAUCUAUACAUUAAUUUCGGAUAACAUCUUGUCUUAGCUUACAGGCAUCUUGCUAGGAAUUUCAAAAUCUUUCUCACACAAUAAACAUCGGUAGAUUAUUUUAACAGAAAACUAGCUGGAAUGAAAAUAAAAUUUCUUAUACAAUAAUAAGAUGCCUCAGAUUUCGAAUGAAGAUAUCCGUAUGCUGUUUGAGGAGUGUUUAUUUCUGUAGGGGACGUGGGCGGAUAUAUUUAUAUUAACAAACACUUCGUCUUCCUGUCUUAUUGUUCUCAAUCUAAUUGCUGAUUUCCUGCUCACAAAUUUAUUAAUCGUCAGUAAAUUAAAGCAAUAAUUAUAACAAUAAUAAUAAUAUAUUAUAUAAUUAUAUAAAUAAUCAGUGAGAGAAAAAAAUGGAUAUGAACGGAAAAUGGAAAUUGGUAUCCGCAGAAAAUAUACCCGAAAUCUGCGAUGUUUUAGGGACAACUGCUGAGAACAAGGAUUUGGCAAUAAAGUUGAUGAGUCUAGGAAGUAACGGCACCCAAUAUAUAAAUAUUGACGGGGACAACGUGUCUAUCAUAUAUAAUAUUCCCGGAAAGACGAUAAAAAUCGACACCAAGAUGGGUCAACCAGUUGACAUGCCAUUUUUCGAUGGACGAAUGUUGUAUGUGGCUUAACAUUACAUAUAUAUCGUGCGUGCGUACGCGUGAAUAAAUGCCUGCGUGUUCAGCGUGCGCAUGUUUGCGUGUUCCUAUUAUUUUGUUACUUUUUUCUGCUCAAGCUAGAGGGAUGCUUUUUAAUGAUUAAGUGGUCUAUCUUGGAGUUAAUUAUUUUCAACGUCUGCUUACUUUCUCUACUAUUUUUGAGUUAUAUCAUCCGAGAUUAAUAUUCAUUAAUUAAUUUAUUCUUAUCAGCUUUAGUUCAGCAUGAAUUUGGUCAUUCUCCAGUUUAAAUACAAGAUGCAGUUGAAAAGAAAAUAUGAAUACAAUGUACAUUUGAUAUAUUCGCAUAUAUAAUAAAAUCGAAGAUAGAACAUUUUAUUUUUUUUGUAUUAAUUUCAGUGCGUAUUUAGUGUAGAUGGUGAUAAACUUGUAGAGAAUCAAACAGGGGCGUUUGAAGCUGUAAAUAUUCGUUACAGGCAAGGGAGUCAACUCGUGUUGAAAAUGACGGCGAAAGGCGUCACAACCACUAGAGUAUAUGAUAAAGAAUAACAGGCAGCAUACUGUUUUCAAACAUGUAUUCUAUAUUGUUCAAUGGAAAUUGAUUUCUUACCAAAUAUUUGAAUUUAAACAUUUCAGUGACUAAAAUGAACAGUUCAUAUUUCUAUUAAAAGUGUUGAAAUGUUUAAGUGGCAUUUUCGUAUAAUUAAUUCCCUUUACCACCAUCAUCACCAUUUUUUUUUUACUUAAAGAUUAACAUAUUAACAAAGAACAGUAGUCUCAAUUAUCUUUAUUACUUUUUCUAUGUUUUUUCUACUUAAAUGCAGACUCAAACUUUUCUCAACUUUUACAUAGACUUUCAUUAUUUGAAAGACCAGGUUUUGUACUAUAAAUUUGGAAAGAAGCCAUCAACGUUUCGUCUUUGAGCUGUUACUGAGCAUUUGUUUAUAAUUAUUCUUCGUAUAUUAUUAUGAUAAUGAUUAAAGAUCUAUACAACAAUUCA